rnacentral:misc_RNA from 1 species
GAUGAAGAACGCAGCGAAAUGCGAUAAGUAAUGAGAAUUGCAGAAUUCAGUGAAUCAUCGAAUCUUUGAACGCACAUUGCGCCCGCCAGUAUUCUGGCGGGCAUGCCUGUUCGAGCGUCAUUUCAACCAUCAAGCCCCCGGCUUGUGUUGGGGACCUGCGGCUGCCGCAGGCCCUGAAAACCAGUGGCGGGCUCGCUAGUCACUCCGAGCGUAGUAAUACAUCUCGCUCAGGGCGUGCUGCGGGUUCCGGCCGUUAAAAAGCCUUAUUUACCCAAGGUUGACCUCGGAUCAGGUAGGAAGACCCGCUGAACUUAAGCAUAUCAUAAGCGGAGGA